GAUCCUGGCUCAGGAUGAACGCUAGCUACAGGCUUAACACAUGCAGGUCGAGGGGCAUCAGUUUGGUUUGCUUGCAGACCAAAGCUGGCGACCGGCGCACGGGUGAGUAACACGUAUCCAACCUGCCUCAUACUCGGGGAUAGCCUUUCGAAAGAAAGAUUAAUAUCCGAUAGCAUAUAUUUCCCGCAUGGGUUUUAUAUUAAAGAAAUUCGGUAUGAGAUGGGGAUGCGUUCCAUUAGG
rnacentral:rRNA from 1 species